rnacentral:rRNA from 1 species
ACUCAAAUGAAUAGACGGGGGCCCGCACAAGCGGUGGAGCAUGUGGUUUAAUUCGACGCAACGCGAAGAACCUUACCAAGGCUUGACAUGGAUGUGCAAUAUUUAGAGAUAAGUACCCCUCUUCGGAGGCGCAUCACACAGGUGGUGCAUGGUUGUCGUCAGCUCGUGUCGUGAGAUGUUGGGUUAAGUCCCGCAACGAGCGCAACCCCUAUGUUUAGUAGCCAGCGGUUAAAGCCGGGCACACUAGAGAGACUGCCGUGGAGAACACGGAGGAAGGUGGGGACGACGUCAAAUCAUCAUGCCCCUUAUGUCUUGGGCUACACACGUGCUACAAUGGGUGCUACAAAGAGAAGCGAGAGCGCGAGCUUAAGCAAACCCCAAAAAGCAUCCUCAGUUCGGAUUGCAGUCUGCAACUCGAGUGCAUGAAGUUGGAAUCGCUAGUAAUCGCGAAUCAGCAUGUCGCGGUGAAUACGUUCCCGGGCCUUGUACACACCGCCCGU